GUGAUCCUACGGGGGGCAGCAGUGGGGAAUAUUGGGCAAUGGGCGCAAGCCUGACCCAGCAACGCCGCGUGAAGGAAGAGGGCUUUCGGGUUGCAAACUUCUUUUCUGGGGGACGAACAAAUGACGGUACCCCAGGAAUAAGCCACGGCUAACUACGUGCCAGCAGCCGCGGUAAUACGUAGGUGGCAAGCGUUAUCCGGAUUUAUUGGGUGUAAAGGGCGUGGAGGCGGGAAUGGAAGUCAGAUGUGAAAACUAUGGGCUGAACCCAUAGCCUGGAUUUGAAACUGGAUUUCUUGAGUGCUGGA
rnacentral:rRNA from 1 species